GACGUAGGGCGCGAGCGUUGUCCGGAUUUAUUGGGCGUAAAGAGCUCGUAGGCGGCUUGUUGCGUCGACUGUGAAAACCCGCGGCUUAACUGCGGGCUUGCAGUUGAUACGGGCAGGCUAGAGUUCGGUAGGGGAGACUGGAAUUCCUGGUGUAGCGGUGAAAUGCGCAGAUAUCAGGAGGAACACCGGUGGCGAAGGCGGCGAUCUGGGAAGAUACUGACGCUGAGGUGCGAAAGCGUGGGGAGCAAACAGG
rnacentral:rRNA from 1 species